UAGCUUAGUUGAUAAAGAAUCUGCCUGCAAUGCAGGAGACCCUGGUUCAAUUCCUGG
rfam:Ovis aries breed Texel chromosome 3, whole genome shotgun sequence.